rnacentral:pre_miRNA from 1 species
CAUCUACUCCCUCCGUUCCAAAAUAGAUGACCCAACUUUGUACUAAGGUUAGUACAAAGUUGGGUCAUCUAUUUUGGAACGGAGGGAGUAUAUU